rnacentral:rRNA from 1 species
CCUACGGGAGGCAGCAGUGGGGAAUAUUGCACAAUGGGGGAAACCCUGAUGCAGCGACGCCGCGUGAGUGAAGAAGUAUUUCGGGAUGUAAAGCUCUAUCAGCGGGGAGGAAGCAAGACGGGACCUGACUAAGAAGCACCGGCUAACUACGUGCCAGAAGCCGCGGUAAUACGUAGGGGGCAAGCGUUAUCCGGAUUUACUGGGUGUAAGGGGAGCGUAGGCGGUAUGGCAAGUCUGAAGUGAAAGCCCAGGGCUCAACCCUGGGACUGCUUUGGAGACUGGUAGACUAGAGUGUUGGAGAGGUAAGUGGAAUUCCUAGUGUAGCGGUGAAAUGCGUAGAUAUCAGGAGGAAUACCAGUGGCGAAGGCGGCUUCCUGGACAGUAACUGACGUUGAGGUUCGAAAGCGUGGGGAGCAAACAGGAUUAGAUACCCGUGUAGUC